AGAAGACCCAUUUUCCAUUGUACGGUCCUCACAGGGGAGAGGCAUGGAGGAAUGGACCAGCUGUUGCAGAUCCAACGUUACCUGGGAGGUGAUGCUCCACUUCCCUGCCCUCCACCCCAAGUAGCCAAGGCUGAAACCUGACUGAUGCUGCCAGACUGACUCCCUUGCUCAAGGCCAAGUUCCCUGCUCCCCACAGAUUACAGAUGUCACCCAAAACAAAGAAGUAAAA